AACAAUUUUUAAAAAUAACUGAAAAUUCACUGAAAAGCGGAUAAAUAAUUAUUUUUUUCUUUUUUGUUUUCUCUCUCUCUUUCUCUAUCUCCUCUCUCUCUCCCUCGGAGGUGUAUGCUUUGGAUGAAAA
rnacentral:ribozyme from 13 species